rnacentral:tRNA from 1 species
GUCCGAAUGUCCUAGUGGUUAAGGAGACAGACUUGAAAUCUGCUGGGUUUCGUCCGUGCAGGUUCGAAUCCUGCUGUCGACG